rnacentral:rRNA from 1 species
AGCGAACGCUGGCGGCAGGCCUAACACAUGCAAGUCGAACGAAGUCUUCGGACUUAGUGGCGGACGGGUGAGUAACACGUGGGAACGUGCCUUUAGGUUCGGAAUAACUCAGGGAAACUUGUGCUAAUACCGAAUGUGCCCUUCGGGGGAAAGAUUUAUCGCCCUUAGAGCGGCCCGCGUCUGAUUAGCUAGUUGGUGAGGUAAUGGCUCACCAAGGCGACGAUCAGUAGCUGGUCUGAGAGGAUGACCAGCCACAUUGGGACUGAGACACGGCCCAAACUCCUACGGGAGGCAGCAGUGGGGAAUCUUGCGCAAUGGGCGAAAGCCUGACGCAGCCAUGCCGCGUGGAUGAUGAAGGUCUUAGGAUUGUAAAAUCCUUUCACCGGUGAAGAUAAUGACUGUAGCCGGAGAAGAAGCCCCGGCUAACUUCGUGCCAGCCGCCGCCGUAACAC